AUGUCAGACUGGAAUGCACAGUCGGUGGCGUGGUUAAAGUGACGCGUACUGCAAUCGGCCACGGGGGGGUGAGGAGAGUAUGCUACGGCGAGCGAUGUAACUGUGUGUAAGGAACUCGUCACAAGGACACGUUAACUUCGGGAUUAGGGGUGCGACGUGCAGUUGGCCGUAGGGUCUGGGCCCAAGCGACUGUUUACCAAAAACAUAGGUUGCUGAUAAGUCGCAAGACGAUGUAUAGGAGCUGGCGCCGGCCCGGUGCUGGAAGGUUAAGGGGAUCUGUUAGAGCAAGCGAAGCAGUGAACUUAAGCCCCAGUAAACGGCGGCCGGAACGAUAACGGUCCUAAGGUAGCGAAAUUCCUUGUCGGGUAAGUUCCGACCCGCACGAAAGGCGUAACGAUUUGGGCACUGGCUCAACAACAGACUCGGUGACAUUGUAAUUCCGGUGAAGUUGCCUGCUAC
rnacentral:rRNA from 1 species